CAUAUCUUUGCCAUUGUGCCAGCUCAAUUUAAAUGUAUCUGCUCUGUAUCUGUUCAAGUGGAGAUAAUCCAUGCAAAUCAGGAGCAGUGGCUUUCAAUGCCUGGUUCACAGAGAGGACUCAGCUUGAGGAGGUCACUCGUUCACAGCCGCUCCUCCCAUUAUAUUUUUCCCCUUAUUGCAGAAUUGCUGUAUGUAUACAGUGACUGAAAGGACUCAAUUUACUGCAACUGCUGCCUGGCUUUACUUACAACUUUUUUUUAUAAAGGAACUUACCUCCAUCUGUCUUUUCAAGUUUCAGGGUAGAAAGGGUCCCUUUAACUCCUGGAGACAGUAAAUCACAGAUUGUGUGGUGGUUCUCAGAAGAUACUUAAAGGACUGAAUUGGAUGCUCUACAUAGCACCCUUGCCAAAAGAGUUCGGAAAUGACUUCCAGCUUCCCACAGUAAUAAAAUGGCACUGUUUGGCAUCUUUAAGGUCACAGACCACUUACUCUGAACCUCACAACUAGUUCUGAAGAGUAUGGAGCCUACAUAGAUUCAUAAGG